rnacentral:rRNA from 1 species
GUGCCAGCAGCCGCGGUAAUACGAAAGGGGCUAGCGUUGUUCGGAUUUACUGGGCGUAAAGGGCACGCAGGCGGUCUUGCCAGUCAGGGGUGAAAGCCCGAGGCUCAACCUCGGAACUGCCUCUGAUACUGCAAGACUUGAGACUAGGAGAGGGUGGUGGAAUUCCCAGUGUAGAGGUGAAAUUCGUAGAUAUUGGGAGGAACACCAGAGGCGAAGGCGGCCACCUGGACUAGAUCUGACGCUCAGGUGCGAAAGCGUGGGGAGCAAACAGGAUUAGAUACCCUGGUAGUCCACGCCGUAAACGAUGAGUGCUAGUUGUCGGGACUUCGGUUUCGGUGACGCAGCUAACGCAUUAAGCACUCCGCCUGGGGGAGUACGGUCGCAAGAUUAAAACUCAAAGGAAUUGACGG